AGACCUGGGAACGUGCGGUUUAGUUUGCCAUGGGUUUUUACGACGGAUAAGGGUGGACAGAAUAUUCCGUUGAAUAGUUUUUAAUUUUUCUCCAUUUUAGAAAUUAUUUUAUGGUUUUAAUACCGGACAGUUUCAAAGUUAUUUGGCAAGCUUCACUUGUGCAGCUGCUCCUGUGUUUAUGAAGAAUGUUGAUUUUUACUACUUCAAGGCAGGGUAGUAGCGGAUAGAGUACAAGCUGGGAAUUCUUUCAUUAUUUUAGUUUUUGCGGACGACUAUUCUGCAGUUGGUACAGAAUACAAGUUUCCCUUCGAAAUGGACCAUGAUAAAGUCAUUGAAGAACUUACCGCAGAAUUAAAAAAACUGACAGAGGAGUCAAUUCGAUUGGAAAAGCAAUUACAGCACUGUGAAAGAGAGUUAGCCCAACAAGACCGAGACGAAGUUGACUUCUAUGAAACGCUUCACAAAAUGCAGUUGGAGGCAGCCAGGGCGCGUAAUUAUGCCAUUCAACAAAGACUAGAUCAAGCAACGGCAGAAUAUAAUGAAAUGAGGAAGCAGCUUAAAAUCUUCUGCAAUGAGGCAGGCUUCAACAAAGGUCCAAAACCUCCAAGGCAGGAAGAAGUUGAUUAUAACUUUUGUAAAGCUAACCGUGAAGAUGAGAGGUGCAAAACACCUGAGCACGUAACCCCAUCUUACUGCAAAUUACGCCCAGAUAAAAGAUGCGAAAAAACUAUUUCCUUCUGUAAAAGAGCAUUUGAUGAUGACAGUAGAUGUCAGCUGCUUGACUAUGUAUUCUGUAAAAUAAAGCCAGAGCAUGAGAAAUGCAUCGCAGGUGACAAUAUAACUAAAAGUUUCUGCAAACUGCGCGAACAUCCCCUAUGCAAAGCGACCGAUUCUUAUUGCAAAAGAUUCAAAGGAUAUGAUCCCAGGUGUGCAUCUGACGCACAUCUGGUCAAUCAUCUAUUUUGCAGAACCAAUAAAACUCAUCCACUAUGCAAAACACCGGAGAUAGUCACCUCCAGUUAUUGUAAAAGGCGUGAAAACGCAAAGUGCAAGAUAACAAAAUCGUAUUGUGAAAGAUUCGUCGGGUAUGAUGAAAGGUGCAAACAAGAACCAGAUGGUCCUCCCAAACCAGAUGGCCCUCCCAAACCAGAUGGUCCUCCUAAACCAGAUGGUCCUCCUAAACCAGAUGGUCCUCCUAAACCAGAUGGUCCUCCUAAACCAGAUGGUCCUCCCAAACCAGAUGGUCCUCCUAAACCAGAUGGUCCUCCCAAACCGGAUGGUCCUCCCAAAGCCGAUGGAUCUGGCAUUGAAUACUAUUAACAUAUAUAACAUUCAUUCACUAUUUUCCGGAAACAACAGAAAAUGGCUCUUCUUGCCAAGGGUGCAAGGAAAACGAAAAUGGAGUGACUGAAUCUUAUCAAAUAAAAUUACGAGCAAGGACAGGUCAAAAGGUUUCCCCUUUCUACGCAGAAUCCGAACAUCCUCCCUACUCCUAUGUAGAAUCUGAACAUCUUCCCUCCUCCUAUGCAGAAUCUGAACGUUCUGACCCUUCGUACGAAGAAUCUGGAAAACCAGGGUAUCCUGCAGAUCGGAAAAGAUAUCAAAAGUUGAAUUUUGAGUUGUGUCGAAAAUAUGCAGAUCUCAGGUGUGCGUACAAUCGUGAUUGGUGGUCGCUUGACAGUUAUUGUAAAAUAGCAUACCAUCCCGACUGCAAGAAGACAGCUUCGUUUUGUGCUAAAUUCGAAAAAAAGGACGAGAGGUGUCGCGUUAUAGACCAUAUAUAUUGCAAAAAUCAUAGGAACGAUCCUCGGUGCGCCUCAGCGGAAGUAACCGAUAGCUACUGCAAACGACCUGCUGACAAAAAAUGCAGAAGAACAACCUCCUAUUGCCAAAGGUUUGCAGGAGACGACGAAAGAUGUCCAAAUAUUGAUCACGAAUGGUGCGCGAAAUAUCCUGAACAUGAAAAGUGCCAAGAGAUUCUUUGCAAUUGACCAAAGGUGUCGUAAAGUUAAUCACACUUACUGCCUACUCAAGCCUAGUGACGAGCGUUGUAGGACACGAACGGAGGUGACAAAAAGUUAUUGCAGACUUCGACCCGAUUGCAGAUGCCCUUUGAACGAAUCUUACUGCAAAAAGUUUUGGUUUUUCGAUAUCAACUGUUACGUUUACCCUAAACCUCCGAAAGAGUUCCUUAAUGAACCCAGUGAGCAUAGUGAAUACAGGAAGAAGAUUUAAGCAAAAUGAUUUUUGUACUGAAUUUUAUUUGAAACGUUAUGGGAUAAAAUCCAAAGUUUUUGAAAUAAAGUAGAUAACAUUCGAGA
rnacentral:misc_RNA from 1 species